CUACGGGAGGCAGCAGUGGGGAAUAUUGGACAAUGGGCGCAAGCCUGAUCCAGCAAUGCCGCGUGAGUGAGGAAGGCCUUAGGGUUGUAAAGCUCUUUCACCCACGACGAUGAUGACGGUAGUGGGAGAAGAAGCCCCGGCUAACUUCGUGCCAGCAGCCGCGGUAAUACGAAGGGGGCGAGCGUUGUUCGGAUUUACUGGGCGUAAAGGGCGCGCAGGCGGCAGAUCAAGUCAGGCGUGAAAGCCCCGGGCUUAACCUGGGAGGUGCGCCUGGGACUGGUUUGCUUGAGAUCGGGAGAGGAGCGUGGAAUUCCCAGUGUAGAGGUGAAAUUCGUAGAUAUUGGGAAGAACACCGGUGGCGAAGGCGGCGCUCUGGACCGAGACUGACGCUGAGGCGCGAAAGCGUGGGGAGCAAACAGGAUUAGAUACCCCGGU
rnacentral:rRNA from 1 species